GAAAAGUGAAACUCUAAGUUUUCGUGUCUAACUUUAACUGUCUGUCUUAUAUGAAAUUUUUUUAUAAUUCGUAUUUUUAUUGUUGUUAGAUGAUAAAACAUGAUUAAUAUUUUAUGCAUGAUUUGUCUUUUUAUUUUUUAUAAUUUUUUUAAAUAAAAAAACAGUACAACGUUGGACACAGAAAUC
rnacentral:pre_miRNA from 1 species